rnacentral:snRNA from 1 species
GUACUUGCUGUGGGAGAACAAAUUCUAAAAUUGGAACGACUUUAGAAUAUUAACAUGCCCCAUAUGCAAGGAUAACAUACAAAAUCGCGAAGUGUUCCAAAUUUAU